rnacentral:sRNA from 1 species
UGCCAAUAGUUAGCUGCGGAUUCAAUGAUCUAUCCGUCUUCUACAGAUUCCUACGUAUCAAGGAGAUAACUAGUGAAAAUACUCUGAAACGUUAUGGGAUUUUCUUGUCUUGGCUUUCCUGGUUUUAUUUAUUUACGUAUUUAUUUAUUUAUUUAUUUACUAUUAUUAUUUUAAAUAAAGCACAGGCAAGGCAACCCUUGCUCUCUGUUCUGUCCGGCAAGAUGCGCGCGAUUCGAUUCGAAUUUGUCUCGAGAGGCCACUUGUGUGCAACACUUCCGCUUUGAUUUUCAACGGCGGGAGGGUCUGGUCUGUCUUGCAGUGACAGAUUGCAUUAGGGGAGGGGGAACCUGGUUCAAUUUUCGUCUGGACAAUUUGUUCCUUUCUGAUGUGCAAGCGGUGAACACACGCAGACAUAAUACAUAAUAGUAGUAGUAUUUACUAUAUUAGUUGCUG